UGAUGACGAGACGCUAAGGCGUUGAAGCAGUGUAUGUCAGACUUCCAAGAAAAGCUCGCAAUGUCACAAAUAAAAGAUGCCUGUACCAUAACCGACACAGGUGGGUAGGUAGAGUAUACUAAGGGGCGCGAGAUAACUCUCUCUAAGGAACUCGGCAAAAUGACUCCGUAACUUCGGGAGAAGGAGUGCCUUAUUUAUAAGGUUGCAAUAACAAGAUCCAAGCAACUGUUUAUCAAAAACACAGGUCUCCGCUAAGUCGUAAGACGAUGUAUGGGGGCUGACGCCUGCCCAGUGCCAGAAGGUUAAAGAAGUUGGUUAGUGUAUGCGAAGCUGAUGACUGAAGCCCUGGUGAACGGCGGCCGUAACCAUAACGGUCCUAAGGUAGCGAAAUUCCUUGUCGGGUAAGUUCCGACCCGCACGAAAGGCGUAAUGAUUUGGAUACUGUCUCGGAGAGAGGCUCGGUGAAAUAGACUUGUCUGUGAAGAUGCGGACUACCUGCACCAGGACAGAAAGACCCUAUGAAGCUUUACUGUAACUUGAAAUUGGAAUUGGACUUUGCUUGCGCAGUAUAGGUGGGAAGCGUUGAAAAUAUUCUUGCGGGAGUAUUGGAGCUAUCAGUGAGAUACCACUCUUGUAAUGUUAGAUUUCUAACUUUGAACCAUAAUCUGGUCAAAGAACAGUUUCAGGUGGGCAGUUUGACUGGGGCGGUCGCCUCCCAAAUGGUAACGGAGGCGUACAAAGGUUUCCUCUGAACGGAUAGAAAUCGUAUCUAGAGUGUAAAGGCAUAAGGAAGCUUGACUGUGAGACCUACAAGUCGAGCAGGGACGAAAGUCGGUCUUAGUGAUCUGACGGUACUGAGUGGAAAGGCCGUCACUCAACGGAUAAAAGUUACUCUAGGAUAACAGGCUGAUCUCCCCCAAGAGUUCACAUCGACGGGGAGGUUUGGCACCUCGAUGUCGGCUCAUCGCAUCCUGGGGCGGUAGUACGUCCCAAGGGUUGGGCUGUUCGCCCAUGAAAGCGGUACGCGAGCUGGGUUCAGAACGUCGUGAGACAGUUCGGUCCAUAUCCGGUGUAGGCGCUAGAAUAUUGAGAGGAGCCUUCUUUAGUACGAGAGGACCGAGAAGGACACACCGCUGGUGUACCAGUUAUCGUGCCAACGGUAAACGCUGGGUAGCUAUGUGUGGAGUGGAUAACCGCUGAAAGCAUCUAAGUGGGAAGCCCACCUCGAGAUGAGUAUUCAC
rnacentral:rRNA from 1 species